CCCCUUUUUGUUCUUCAUCCCCUAAAGGGGAACUAAAGGGGUUCCCCUUUAGUUCCCCUUUAGGGGAUGAACUAAAGAAGACAGAUAACCAAAGGGGAUGAACUCCCCGUAGGGGAAGAAGGGGGGUUCUUCCCCUAAAGGGGAACUAAAGUUCCCCUUUAGUUCAUCCCCUAAAGGGGAACUAAAGGGGAAGAAGAAGACAACGAAGGGGGUUCCCCUUUAGGUCAUCCCCUAAAGGGGAACUAAAGGGGAAGAAGCGCUUGGUGGCUUUAAAAUAAGAUCGGCCGGCCCCUAUCCGAGGU
rnacentral:lncRNA from 1 species